rnacentral:snRNA from 1 species
AAUACUCUCAAUUCGUUU